GAAAAUAGUCCAUAUAUCAGUCUUUUUUUAAACUCUAGGGAGAUGAGGGCAUCAUUGGACUCCCGGGCUUGCCAGGUGAAAAGGGAUAUCCUGGCUUACCAGGAUUAGAUGGUCGCCCUGGAUUAGAAGGUUUCCCAGGACCACAAGGACAAAAGGGUGAAGAAGGAGGGCCAGGGUCUAAAGGUGAAAAGGGUCAAGAUGGAAUAGGACUUCCUGGCCCUCCUGGACCCCCAGGACCAGCCGUGUACCUGUCUAGUGAAG
rnacentral:lncRNA from 1 species